UACCGUCCCGGAGGGUAAAACCCUCUUUUCGUCCCAUCUAACAGUAGUUUACGAGGCAGAGCCCCUUCAUCCUACACGCGGCGUCGCUGGUUCAGGAUUGCUCCCAUU
rnacentral:rRNA from 1 species